rnacentral:ncRNA from 2 species
AUGAAUCCCUAGGGGCGCCGCAAGGCUGAGACAGAGCAAUCUGAACCCUUCGAACCUGAACUGGGUCAUACCAGCGGAGGAAAGUGGAACGAUCAUUGG